rnacentral:rRNA from 1 species
AUGGAAGGUCUCAAACCAGCAGUCAGAGUGGCUGUGGGCAUUCAGCAACCUCCUGAUUUAGACACGGCCUAUCAAUUGGCGCUGCUACAUGAAGAGCUGGGGACUAUUAGUCCAUCCACCAUGAUCAACUCCCAGAAUGCCCGUCGUGCAAGUGCUCUUCCACUCCCUCCUCCACCCACCAGUUCUGCUGUGCAAUCUUCUGUACAGAAAGGUCAUGAAGAAAGGAGACCUGUCGACAGUUACAGACGUACGGUUUCAGAGGAUAAAUGGGGAGCUCUGAGAACAUUUUGUAAGGCAAAGGGUCUUUGCUUCAUUUGUGGUGAGCGCUGGGGCAAGGAUCACAUAUGCAAGCAAGAAGUUCAGCUCCACGUGGUGCAAGAAAUGGUUGAGUUCUUACAAAAUUCAGACGUCAAUGACUCUGUUGCGAGUGAAAUUCAGUCUGAAGUACACAUGAUGUCAGUUUCUGCUGCUGCCUUGGGGAAAACAACUUCUAAACCAGCUAAAACCAUGCAAUUAAGAAUUCAGUUGCAAGGGCUUAAUCUGAUUUUUAUUGUGGAUUCUGGUAGUUCACAUUCAUUCUUGGAUGUUUCCUUAUCUGACAAGAUACAUGGGGUGUCACCGAUGGCCAAAGCAUUAGUUAAAAUUGCAAAGGGAGAUAUGGUGCCUUGUGCAUCUCAACUGCUGGAUGGUGUUUGGUCUUGUGCUGGACAUAAGUUUCUCACUUCUUUCAAAUUGUUUCCAUUGGGCAGUUAUGAUGGCAUUGUGGGCAUGGAUUGGCUAUCUGCACACAGUCCAAUGUGGGUGGAUUGGGAUCAUCACUGGUUAUCUUUUGUUCAUAAUGGUUCUGAAAUUACACUCCUGGGCACUACUGCGUUACUACCUGAGAUCACAAUGAUAGAAGUUUGUUCUUUACUGACAACUCCAGAUUUACCUAUUCCUCCAGAAGUACAGUUGAUACUAGAUGAAUAUAAACAUGUGUUUGAGCCCCCUACUGGCCUUCCCCCCAGACGACCGUACGAUCACACCAUUCCUCUGUUACCUAGUGCCACCCCAGUAUCUAUGCGGCCCUACAGGUUACCUCCUCUUCUGAAAACAGAGCUCGAGAAGCAAAUUAAGGAGAUGCUUGCUAGUGGUGUCAUCCGCCUAAGCAACAGCCCUUUUUCUUCACCACUCCUUAUGGUCAAGAAGAAGGACGAAUCUUGGCGUCCUGUGAUUGAUUAUCGCCACCUUAAUGCAAUGACGCAGAAGAGCAAGUUUCCAAUUCCUGUGAUUGACGAGCUUUUGGAUGAACUGCAGGUGCCAGUUGGUUUACUAAACUUGACUUGCGCUCUGGUUACCAUCAGAUCCGCUUAG